rnacentral:lncRNA from 1 species
AUGUCUUCUAUUCCUUACUUUUGUUGGUGGUGGUUAUAGUAAGUGUCCAAUUGCUGUGAUUAGAUCUUCCAGUAAGGUGUUCAACACAGUACCACCACUUCUAUUCAAUACAUUAGAAUACAAGUGAUGAGAGUGGGUAUCUUUGUUUUGUUGUUGAUCUUCCAGAAAAAAAACCUUGUUUCACUGUUGAGUAUUAUGAUGAGUAAGCUGUGG